rnacentral:rRNA from 1 species
GAUGAACGCUGGCGGCGUGCCUAAUACAUGCAAGUCGAGCGAACAGACGAGGAGCUUGCUCCUUUGACGUUAGCGGCGGACGGGUGAGUAACACGUGGAUAACCUACCUAUAAGACUGGGAUAACUUCGGGAAACCGGAGCUAAUACCGGAUAACAUGUUGAACCGCAUGGUUCAACAGUGAAAGACGGUCUUGCUGUCACUUAUAGAUGGAUCCGCGCCGCAUUAGCUAGUUGGUAAGGUAACGGCUUACCAAGGCAACGAUGCGUAGCCGACCUGAGAGGGUGAUCGGCCACACUGGAACUGAGACACGGUCCAGACUCCUAAGGGAGGCAGCAGUAGGGAAUCUUACGCAAUGGGCGAAAGCCUGACGGAGCAACGCCGCGUGAGUGAAGAAGGUCUUCGGAUCGUAAAACUCUGUUAUUAGGGAAGAACAAAUGUGUAAGUAACUAUGCACGUCUUGACGGUACCUAAUCAGAAAGCCACGGCUAACUACGUG